rnacentral:lncRNA from 1 species
AUUCAAUCUGCCAACAUAUAGUAUAACAUCUCUCCCUCUUCUACCUAUCUGUGUUAUCCUUUGUUGUGGAGGUUCUGUUCAUCCAGUUUCCAGGUCCCCUUCAGAGGGAGUUUUUCCACAUUUAAGUGUGGACCUAAUGAGUCAAUGGGAUGAUGUGAGAUCAGGAUCUCCCUACACUACCAUCUUGAACCCCCUCCUCUGGGCAAUUUUUAAAGUAUCAAAAUGGACCCCAUUCUGGGAAAUACUAGAUGUUCAUUUUCUCUGCUGAUCCUGAUGUGACAGCUGGAUUAAGUAGGUCUGUGCUCAUUAGCAAUUGCCUUUUUGUUUGUUACAGUCUUGUAGGACUCGUAAACACAAAUCCCACUGACUUUCAGAGCUAGGUGUUUUGAGGGCUAGUCCUGAAGUAGAAUUCUUAAAAGUUGGGGCUGUAGAUGUCACAUCCCAAGCCUUCUCUCAAGGAAAAGCCAGUAUUUGGAGAUUUCCUUCUGAUUGUAUAGCACUGUGCAGUGGGUGGGCACCAUUUAUGGCAAGAGCAUGUCUAAGCCUUUUCUACUCAUUUUGAUAUAGGUCCUUUUAGUUGUCUCAGCAUGGAAGAUUUGCGUGGCUAAUUUCAGGGUUUCUUUUCCAUGUGUCACUGUGUCUGUGGGAACAGGGGGGUUCAAGAGCCUUCUAUGUUACCAUUUUUUAAAAAGAUUUUAUUAAAAAAAAAAAGAUUUUAUUUAUUCAUGAGAGACAGAGAGACAGAGGCAGAAGCAGGCUCCAUGCAGAGAGCCUGACGUGUGACUCGAUCCCGGGUCUCCAGGGUCACACCCUUGGGGCUGAAGGCAGCACUAAAUCGCUGAGCCACCUGGGCUGCCCUAUGCUACCAUCUUUAAAGCUGCCUCAAUACUUUCUUUUUCUAAACUUUUUAUAAAGAGUUUAUUUAUUUAUUCAUGAGAGACACACAGAGAGAGAGGCAGAGACCUAGGCAGAGGCAGAAGCAGGCUCCAUGCAGGGAGCCUGAUGUGGGACUUGAUCUCGGAACUCCAGGAUCACGCCCUGGGCCGAAGGCAGGCGCUAAACCACCGAGCCACCCAGGGAUCCCAAUGCUUUCUAAACUAUGUGUGUUUGAGGGUUUUUUUUCCCCCCUAUGAUGGGGAGAGUGGAGCAUGGCUGGAUUAUGGGAGGAGUCCUCACUGAGGAAAAUAUUUAUGAUAAAAAGAAAAUAUUGUGGGGAGCUAGGUUUUAAGAGGUGCAAUAUGAACUCAAGAUAACAGGAACAGGCUUGACCCUGGAUGUGGUCAAUAGGGAUGUGCCUGCCUUGAAGGUGGAAGAGAGGAGAGGAUGACAGAACCACACAGUGUCAGGGAUAUUCAAGGAAGUUGAGAAAGCAUUUCCGAGUGCACCGUGUUUUCUUGGUAAGUUUGGAGGAACUACUAAUUGUGAGAAAAAGGGAGGUGGCUCAGUGUUAAGGAACAUGAAAAAGAACUGGAGAUGUGGUGACUGGAAAGAGGGAUAGAAUUUAAGAUAAAGAUUGGUAGGAAAAUUAUAUGGAAUCCCAC